CCACUCACUGUCUUGACAGGGUCACAGUGAGGAUGAAUGCUGGCAAAGCCGCGCUGGUUGGUGGGAAACCGAAACCAUGAGACCCUUUUUUAUGUAAUUGGGACUUUUCAUUUUCAUGCUUAUGUUUCUGACAGGAGGCAUGAGUAUUUUAAGUGCCAAACAAAUUAAAUUUCAGAUGGCUAGAACAUAACAGGUAGUUCAUGCUUUGAAGGCUGUUCUACUACCCCUCAGCAUAUCAAGGACAAAGUAGAAGGCUGUUCUUCUAUCUCAGUACAUUGAGGACAAAUCUGAUAAUGGACAACAAUCAUACUCUGAAAGGUCAUGAGAAUUUUAGGCACCACAUUGAUUAUGUCAACUAGAACCCAAGCUCAUAUUUCCGGCCUCUUAGGAAAACCUAAUCAUUAUGCUUAUUUUACAAUGCCCACCAUAUGUAGCCUCAUUCUUGAUUGAGGAAAGUUAUAUUAUACACUUAGGAAAGUUAAAACAUAUAAAGAUAUAUUCUUCUCUUUUUAUAAACCCUUUUUUUUACUUUACAUAGGGAUUUAUGAUGAGCAUAGUUAAUAUUGGCG
rnacentral:lncRNA from 1 species